rnacentral:rRNA from 1 species
ACCGAAGGGCUUCAGAGUGCCUCCGACCGCGACCCCAGGUCAGGCGGGACUACCCGCUGAGUUUAA